rnacentral:rRNA from 1 species
CCUACGGGUGGCAGCAGUGAGGAAUAUUGGUCAAUGGGCGCGAGCCUGAACCAGCCAAGUAGCGUGAAGGAUGACUGCCCUACGGGUUGUAAACUUCUUUUAUAAAGGAAUAAAGUGAGGCACGUGUGCCUUUUUGUAUGUACUUUAUGAAUAAGGAUCGGCGAACUCCGUGCCAGCAGCCGCGUUAAUACGGAGGGUCCGAGCGUUAUCCGGAUUUAUUGGGUGUAAAGGGAGCGUAGAUGGGUUUUUAAGUCAGUUGUGAAAGUUUGCGGCUCAACCGUAAAAUUGCAAUUGAUACUGACAGCCUUGAGUACAGUAGAGGUAGGCGGAAUUCGUGGUGUAGCGGUGAAAUGCGUAGAUAUCACGAAGAACUCCGAUUGCGAAGGCAGCCUACUAAACUGCCACUGACAUUGAUGCUCGAAAGUGUGGGUAUCAAACAGGAUGAGAUACCCCGGUAGUC